UGAGGAAUAUUGGUCAAUGGGCGAGAGCCUGAACCAGCCAAGUAGCGUGCAGGAUGACGGCCCUAUGGGUUGUAAACUGCUUUUAUAUUGGAAUAAAGUGAGGGACGUGUCCCUUAUUGCAUGUACCAUACGAAUAAGGACCGGCUAAUUCCGUGCCAGCAGCCGCGGUAAUACGGAAGGUCCAGGCGUUAUCCGGAUUUAUUGGGUUUAAAGGGAGCGUAGGCUGUUUGUUAAGCGUGUUGUGAAAUGUAGGAGCUCAACUUUUAGAUUGCAGCGCGAACUGGCAGACUUGAGUGCGCACAACGUAGGCGGAAUUCAUGGUGUAGCGGUGAAAUGCUUAGAUAUCAUGACGAACUCCGAUUGCGAAGGCAGCUUACGGGAGCGCAACUGACGCUAAAGCUCGAAGGUGCGGGUAUCGAACAGG
rnacentral:rRNA from 1 species